AAGUCAUGGUGUGGGCAUUAUCUGAGUAUAUUUUUGAAUCUAUCUCACGCUUCAUAGAGAGAUUAAGUGUCAUUCUGUCUAAAGCUAGCAAUUAAAUUUCGUGUAUGU